rnacentral:tRNA from 1 species
GCCAGCAUGGCAUAGUGGUUUGAGUGUUGGAUUACAACUCUGGAGACCAGGGUUCAAUUCCCAGCUCAGCCA